rnacentral:rRNA from 1 species
GACGAACGCUGGCGGCGUGCUUAACACAUGCAAGUCGAACGGAAAGGCCCUGCUUUUGUGGGGUGCUCGAGUGGCGAACGGGUGAGUAACACGUGAGUAACCUGCCCUUGACUUUGGGAUAACUUCAGGAAACUGGGGCUAAUACCGGAUAGGAGCUCCUGCUGCAUGGUGGGGGUUGGAAAGUCUCGGCGGUUGGGGAUGGACUCGCGGCUUAUCAGCUUGUUGGUGGGGUAGUGGCUUACCAAGGCUUUGACGGGUAGCCGGCCUGAGAGGGUGACCGGCCACAUUGGGACUGAGAUACGGCCCAGACUCCUACGGGAGGCAGCAGUGGGGAAUAUUGCACAAUGGGCGGAAGCCUGAUGCAGCAACGCCGCGUACGGGAUGACGGCCUUCGGGUUGUAAACCGCUUUCGCCUGUGACGAAGCGUGAGUGACGGUAAUGGGUAAAGAAGCACCGGCUAACUACGUG